AAGCUGCUGGGACACUCAUCUGUGUGUGGCCUGUGGCUCACAGGGGCAGGCUCAUGAAUGUCAAAGUAACACAGACCCUGAGAUGAGGCAGGAAAGUUGUAUCGGAAUGUUUUCAGACUAUCAACCAGACCAAACGUUCUGGAAUCCAUAAGAUCCAGGGCUGGGGAUAAAUUUAAUCUAUUAAUUAUUCUUCUGAAGUUGGCAGCUUUGAAAAAGAUGCCCUGAGUCAGCAUAGUCAUUCCAACCAAAAAGAAAAAAGGGAAAAAAUAAUCAUCUUUCCCAACCCUUAAAUCGUCCAGCACUAACCAGACUCUGAGACCCUCUGCAGCAGCAGCCUAUCAGUGCAGCCACAUCCUCUCUGAGCGGAUAUGACAAACCCCAGGGGUGAAGCGACCUAACCUAUGAGCC